UACGUAGGUGGCAAGCGUUGUUCGGAAUUAUUGGGCGUAAAGGGCGCGUAGGCGGUUUGUUAAGUCGGUUGUGAAAGCCCGGGGCUCAACCCCGGAGAGUCGACCGAUACUGGCAGACUAGAGUACGGAAGAGGUAGCUGGAGUUCCCGGUGUAGCGGUGAAAUGCGUAGAUAUCGGGAGGAACACCUGAGGCGAAGGCGGGCUACUGGGCCGAUACUGACGCUGAUGCGCGAAAGCCAGGGGAGCAAACGGG
rnacentral:rRNA from 1 species